rnacentral:RNase_P_RNA from 2 species
AGAGUCUUCUAGAUAGUCGCUGCCGAUUUUUCGGGAGAGGAAAGUCCGGGCUCCGAAGAGCAGGACGCUGGGUAACGCCCAGUUGGCGUGAGCCACAGGCCAGUGCCACAGAGAUAUACCGCCUCUUAGAGGUAAGGGUGAAAAGGUGGGGUAAGAGCCCACCGGACGGCAGGUGACUGUCGUGCCAGGUAAACCCCGUCUGGAGCAAGACCGAAUAGGAAGGGAUGACGCUGCUCGCCGACCUUCGGGUACGGUCGCUUGAGGUAUAUCGUGAGGUAUACCCUAGAUAAAUGACUAUCCACGACAAAACCCGGCUUACAGGAAGGCUCUUCAU